UGGGCGCCUGUGACAACACCCCUCCAGGAAAGGUGCUCUGGGAACAUGGGGUGUCCCACAGCAGAGGGUGCAGCACCUUCCAAAAGCCAAACCCCCUCCACUGGCUCUGGAGACCCAGCUGCUAUAAGGACCAAUGAGUCAGGAACCGAAAAAGGACUGCUGUUGCCUAUGCCCAUCAAACUCCUCCCCACUCUGUGAAAAGAGAUUGUGAAUGUCGGGAGUAAAGAGAGAUAGGCAGAGAUGCCCUCUGCCCAGGAGCUUCUUGGAUGAGCACAACAGAUGCAAAACAGAUGGCAGGGGAUGGCAGCUGCAAGGGUGGAGUGAGCCUGAUGGCUUAGGCAGAGUAGCCAUCAAUAGAAUCCCUGGACAUCCCAGAAGACACAGCCAUGCACCACAACUAUGCUUACUGAGACAAGUCGAACUGAGAAAUUUAUAGCUAUUCAGCAAUGUUCAUGGAAACUUUGGAUUUCUACCCCUCUUGUCCACUCUUCAACCUUUAUGUGAUAUAUGGAUGAUAAAACAGGACUCUAGAAAGCCAAAACAUGGAAAAUAACACAUAUUCACUUCUGCUUUUUAAAUAUGGCUUAAUUAUAAUCUGAUUUUACUUCAGGAGAAAUGUCAAGCUUGACUCUUGGUCCAUGCUAGCCCCCUUCAGAAAAUGUCUCAAACCUUGCACCCCGUUUAUUCUAAUCCUUGUCUGCUAGGUAAAAGUCCCUCUGCAGCAUCUGAAGCUGUUGGGAACCAGAGAAUAAAUUCCUAAAGAUGAUGCUAAACUUCUCUCUCCCUAAUCUUGGGCCUCCACAUUGAAAUCAGUCCCAUUAGCUACACCAACAUACCAGCAACAUUCUCUGCAAAACAAAAAAUCACAUGCUUUCAGUUUUAAAAACACUUUCUCACAGUCAAAAGCUAAGUGGCCCUGACAAAAUGCUGCAAACCAGUAUUUGGUUCCUUCCUAACAAGAAGGGAAGAUUUCCACUGGAAAUCACCCCUCUUCCUAUUUCUGCCUUCUAGGAUCAGAAAUUUAUUCCCCAGCAAAAAGAUGAGGUUUUUCACCCCAAAGGUGACAUCGAAACCUGGAGACAUAUGAUUAGGUCCUUACACAUGGUCUCACUAUGGCAAAUGGAGUUAUAUUGAAAUAGAGACAGAGAAAAUUCAGCUGAGGUUAUUUCCACCAUAUACACAAGGUAGACUGCUCAGACAUCACCUUGCUGCUCUUGGUACCCUCAGCUGUGGCCUUUACUAUCACUGCACACAGAGCAGAGCUUGUAGGUCAUUGGAAGCAUGUGACAAAGCUGAUGGGAGCACAUGAAUGCUCAUGAGCUACACCAACCCCUGCAGGGAAGCAGAUUCCCAGGGCCUGCUAAUGCUCUACUGAUCUCACAGAGUAAAUAGAUGUGGUUUCUGAGACAGAAGCUGAACGUGCCACACUAAGCCCCAGUCUGGAAUUGGAGAGGCUCUCCAAGUAAUAGUAAAACACCCUAAUACAUUACAACAUACAAAUUAGAUAUGCUCAUCUUCCUAGAAACAGGCCACACCAAAGAUGUCUGAAGCAGCCAGGUGCAGUAGUACACCUCUGUAAUCCCAUUUGCUCUGAGGCUGAGGCAGGAGGAUCACAAGUUCGAGACUAGCCUGAGCAACAUAGCAAGAUCUUGUCUAAAAAUAAAAAAUAGAAAAGACUGAAGACGUAGUUCAGUGAUAGAACAUGCCUGAGUUCAAUCCCCAGUAUAGAAAAAAAUGUCCGAAGCAUUUUAAAUUGUGCUUCGGGUACAACUUUUCCACUUCUGAAAGAGAAAACAUUCAUGUAUGCUGUAAAUUAAAAUAAGAUGAAUUACCACUUCAUAAUGUUUUCUUUCCAAGCCAACAAGUAACUGUGAGAACUUUACGUCAUGUACUCUUCUUCCAAAUAGUCAUAAAAUAAAU
rnacentral:lncRNA from 1 species